UGAGGUGCCGACCAGCUAGCCAAUGCAAACAAGCCAGGCAGUGAGCAAGGGGUUGAUGUGUAUAUUUGUGCGGUCCAUUUUCUGCUUCUAGCUCUCGUGAUAUUCGUUGCAAAACUCGCUUUUCUUUUACAGUUGUUCUAUUUCUUCUUUGGUAGUCACACAACAAUAUAAAACUGAAGUUGCUUUAGUGAAGCACCGUUUUCCCCAUCCCUUCCUAUUAUUCUUAUUCUUUUGAGUAUUCUUCGUUGUCAAGCCGCCAAAGUGGAGAGUGUGAUUGCAGAAGGGGGUGCUUCUCGUUUCAGUGCUUCUUCGGGGGAGGAGGUGGUAGGGGUG